rnacentral:rRNA from 1 species
UACAGAGGUCCCAGGCGUUGUUCGGAUUCACUGGGCGUAAAGGGUGCGUAGGCGGUCGGGUAAGUCUGAUGUGAAAUCUCCAAGCUCAACUUGGAAAUGGCAUCGGAUACUAUUCGGCUCGAGGAAUGGAGGGGAGACUGGAAUACUUGGUGUAGCAGUGAAAUGCGUAGAUAUCAAGUGGAACACCAGUGGCGAAGGCGAGUCUCUGGACAUUUCCUGACGCUGAGGCACGAAAGCCAGGGGAGCAAACGGG